rnacentral:rRNA from 1 species
UACAGAGGUCUCAAGCGUUGUUCGGAUUCAUUGGGCGUAAAGGGUGCGUAGGCGGCGCGGUAAGUCGGGUGUGAAAUCUCGGAGCUUAACUCCGAAACUGCAUUCGAUACUGCCGUGCUUGAGGACUGGAGAGGAGACUGGAAUUUACGGUGUAGCGGUGAAAUGCGUAGAUAUCGUAAGGAAGACCAGUGGCGAAGGCAGCUCGCUGGGACGGUACUGACACUGAGACGCGAAAGCGUGGGGAGCGAACAGG